rnacentral:rRNA from 1 species
UACGUAGGGUGCGAGCGUUAAUCGGAUUUACUGGGCGUAAAGCGUGCGCAGGCGGUUUUGUAAGUCCGAUGUGAAAUCCCCGGGCUUAACCUGGGAAUGGCAUUUGGGACUGCAAGGCUUGAGUGCGGCAGAGGAGACUGGAAUUCCUGGUGUAGCAGUGAAAUGCGUAGAUAUCAGGAGGAACACCGAUGGCGAAGGCAGGUCUCUGGGCUGACACUGACGCUCAUGCACGAAAGCGUGGGGAGCAAACAGG